GCUGGCGGCACGCCUAACACAUGCAAGUCGAACGAAGUAGCAAUACUUAGUGGCAGACGGGUGAGUAACAUGUGGGUAUCUGCCCUUUGGCCUGGAAUAACACGAGGAAACUUGUGCUAAUACCGGAUAAGUCUUUACGGAGAAAGCUUUAUGCACCAUUGGAUGAGCCCGCACUUGAUUAGUUUGUUGGUAGGGUAAUGGCCUACCAAGACUGUGAUCAAUAGCUGAUUUGAGAGGAUGAUCAGCCACAUUGGGACUGAGACACGGCCCAAACUCCUACGGGAGGCAGCAGUGGGGAAUCUUGCACAAUGGAGGAAACUCUGAUGCAGCGAUGCCGCGUGAGUGAAGAAGGCCUUUGGGUUGUAAAGCUCUUUCGUCGGGGAAGAAAAUGACUGUACCCGAAUAAGAAGGUCCGGCUAACUUCGUGCCAGCAGCCGCGGUAAUACGAAGGGACCUAGCGUAGUUCGGAAUUACUGGGCUUAAAGAGUUCGUAGGUGGUUGAAAAAGUUGGUGGUGAAAUCCCAGAGCUUAACUCUGGAACUGCCAUCAAAACUUUUCAGCUAGAGUUUGAUAGAGGAAAGCAGAAUUUCUAGUGUAGAGGUGAAAUUCGUAGAUAUUAGAAAGAAUACCAAUUGCGAAGGCAGCUUUCUGGAUCAUUACUGACACUGAGGAACGAAAGCAUGGGUAGCGAAGAGGAUUAGAUACCCUCGUAGUCCAUGCCGUAAACGAUGUGUGUUAGACGUUGGAAAUUUAUUUUCAGUGUCGCAGCGAAAGCGAUAAACACACCGCCUGGGGAGUACGACC
rnacentral:rRNA from 1 species